GCUUCGGAAGAGUUUUUUACAUAGAAAAAGGUCUUGAGCCAUUUUUUACAUGACUCAAGACCCUGAAUCCGGGGGAAGAUGGAACCCCGGCGAGGAACGAUAGUGGCGGCGCCGCAUUGGGUCAUCGGCUUCGCGGCACCGGGAUUGUCCUUAUCGGGAAGAACCUGUGGCCGGAACAUGAAGUACCGGGACCACAGGUCGAUAGAGGGCCAAAGGCCGAGAUAGCCUUCGGAACAAGUGACGAAUGCCGAGAGAGUAAGAAUGGCAUUCACCGGAAGGUGGUGCGGCAGG
rnacentral:lncRNA from 1 species